rnacentral:rRNA from 1 species
GACGAACGCUGGCGGCGUGCUUAACACAUGCAAGUCGAACGGAAAGGCCCUGCUUGCAGGGUACUCGAGUGGCGAACGGGUGAGUAACACGUGGGUGAUCUGCCCUGCACUUCGGGAUAAGCCUGGGAAACUGGGUCUAAUACCGGAUAGGAGCCAUUUUUAGUGUGAUGGUUGGAAAGUUUUUUCGGUGUAGGAUGAGCUCGCGGCCUAUCAGCUUGUUGGUGGAGUAAUGGCCUACCAAGGCGGCGACGGGUAGCCGGCCUGAGAGGGUGGACGGCCACAUUGGGACUGAGAUACGGCCCAGACUCCUACGGGAGGCAGCAGUGGGGAAUAUUGCACAAUGGGCGCAAGCCUGAUGCAGCGACGCCGCGUGGGGGAUGACGGCCUUCGGGUUGUAAACUCCUUUCGCUAGGGACGAAGCUUUUUGUGACGGUACCUAGAUAAGAAGCACCGGCUAACUACGUG